GAACUCCUACGGGGCGCAGCAGUGGGGAAUAUUGCACAAUGGGGGAAACCCUGAUGCUGCGACGCCGCGUGAGUGAAGAAGUAUUUCGGUAUGUAAAGCUCUACCAGCAGGGAAGAUAAUGACGGUACCUGACUAAGAAGCCUCGGCUAACUACGUGCCAGCAGCCGCGGUAAUACGUAGGGGGCAAGCGUUAUCCGGAUUUACUGGGUGUAAAGGGAGCGUAGACGGACUUGCAAGUCUGAUGUGAAAAUCCGGGGCCCAACCCCGGAACUGC
rnacentral:rRNA from 1 species